GAUGAACGCUGGCGGCGUGCCUAAUACAUGCAAGUCGAGCGAACGGACGAGGAGCUUUCUCCUUCGACGUUAGCGGCGGACGGGUGAGUAACACGUAGGUAACCUACCUAUAAGACUGGGAUAACUUCGGGAAACCGGAGCUAAUACCGGAUAAUAUUUCGAACCGCAUGGUUCGAUAGUGCAAGAUGGCUUUGCUAUCACUUAUAGAUGGACCUGCGCCGUAUUAGCUAGUUGGUAAGGUAACGGCUUACCAAGGCAACGAUACGUAGCCGACCUGAGAGGGUGAUCAGCCACACUGGAACUGAGACACGGUCCAGACUCCUACGGGAGGCAGCAGUAGGGAAUCUUCCGCAAUGGGCGAAAGCCUGACGGAGCAACGCCGCGUGAGUGAUGAAGGUCUUCGGAUCGUAAAACUCUGUUAUUAGGGAAGAACAAACGUGUAAGUAACUGUGCACGUCUUGACGGUACCUAAUCAGAAAGCCACGGCUAACUACGUG
rnacentral:rRNA from 1 species